GGUAGCGGCUGGAGGGUUUCCCCUAUGCUGUUUUGGCCAGCCUUUUCUAAAGGCUGAAGGGAGGAAGUUCCAUCCAUCCUACCUUAAUGCAGUUCCGUGAGGGGUUCCCUGAGAGGGGAUUGGUUUGUUUACAGAGACGAGAUGCCUUAUAUCAUGAGACAGUGAUUCCUUGUGGAUGAGGAGUAUGGUAUUAUGGCUUGUGAAACGAAACAAACCCUGCUGGGAUGCAACUCCAUGUUUGGAGGCUUAGACGAAUACCCUCACUCUCUUUAUGGGAGCGACAGAAGAUGGACUACAGGCCGCUGCC
rnacentral:RNase_P_RNA from 1 species